UCGCACGACUGAAGAAUCGGCCCGAAAAGGGGAAAAACUCGUACAGUGUACGCCCGGCUUAAGUUAACUAUUAUAAGUCUCAAACUAACCCUGAUGGUACAUUUUCUGAAUUAGUCCGGUUCAUUUAGUGUAUUUGUUCAUUUACCCACAGUAACAACCCACCGAGACAUUAUUGCUCAAGCAGUCUUUACGGCAGGAAUACUGCCUCACCCCGAUACAUUUGGACAGACGGACGUAACAAUUCAGUCUGUACACGAGAAUAUUGACACUGAGCCAGCAGCAGCAGCAGCACAUGAUCUGUCUCGUCCUGCCUCAUCUGCUCAGCACCCUGUAGCAUCAGUCAUCCGCCGUGCCAGAAGAAAACACAAAUAGAGGCGCAGUCUCAGAAGCCUAUGUUCGUCAGUCCUGAGAGUUCAGCAAGACUUCAACCGGUUAAUCACCAAAGCACAUGCAGCUGAUCCGCUUAUUGAAGCUAUAUCUUAAGUUCAAUGCUUUCAAAUAAUUUGUUUGUAAUAUAAUAAAUACUUUUUCAUUAAAUUCUGAUUAUAUGUGAUAAAUCUAAUUAUAUUUUUUUCUUUAUUUUAUUACAGUCGCUGCAUCGACAGUAAAACAUGCCACUUUCUACGGGACGUCAAGCUACCCUCUACCGCCGGAAAGCUGCAUCGCUUCUGAAUAUCUGCGAGGCUCUGAUGAUUGAGCUGAUUGACCCAUCGAUGCCAGUAGCGUUAACCAGCUAAGUUGUGACCUCUGUAAAAAUGGAUAGUCUGCAAAUCAGAGAUGCUUUGAAUGGAAUUGUGGAGGCUGUAAAUGAACUCCGGAAUCUCCCUGUUCAGCAUGCAACCGAAUCUGUAAUUUCUGACAGCUUCAUGACCCGGUGAAAUUCCUAACCCCGCCGAAUUUUACACACAGGUUUAUCAUCUUCUCACCGAGCUGGCGGACUCUAUUACACAUUCGGCGUUACGCAACGAUAUCGUACAGCUCGAAUUAAGCGGGGAAGGAUUUUCACGUCAUGAUGACGGUGAUUCAGUUCUGCCUGCAUUUCUGGAAUUUUUAGAUGAGUUAACAAAGUCUAAUGAAGAAUUGCCAGGACCUGCAAACUUGGAAAUAGUACUUCAGAUUAUACGAAACCCUCACGGCGGUGCAAAACACAAGGCGACAAAAACGUUGGACUGUGAGCUGAUUCAUAAAAAACGACGUCAUCUCUACAUUGUUGAAAAUGCUUCUAAUCAGCUUGGUUUUGCAGCCAGUCUAGCACAUCUUUGUAACCCUGCUUUUACAGACGCCCAAGCCAUGCAUCAAGCCUCACUGUGGCAACGGACAGCCGGCCUCACUGAGCAAACUCCCGUGACUUUCAGCGAUGUGCAUAAAUUUGAAGAGAUAGUCAACAGGAAAAUUGUUGUUUUCUUUAAAGACGACAAGGAGGCAAUGCUUCGUAAAUUCCAGACCGGCUUUUCAGAUCGUUCAAAUCCAUUGUUCCUGUUUCUGUUCAAAAGCCAUUAUUAUGAAAUAAAGAGUCUCACAGGUUUCACAGGCUCGAGGCACAUUUGUGGUUACUGCUUUAACAGUUACGAUACCAUUGGCACGCAUAAUUGUAAGGGUCACUGUUCCGUAUGCCUCGACACAAAUUGUACUCUCCAACAAUACGGCCCUGUACAGUGCACAGAUUGUAAACAAAUCUGUUGUAAUUCCAUCUGCUUUGCAAAACACAGAGACCCCACAUUGAGACCUAAACUUGGGAAGCUUGUAAGUAACUGCGACACAACAAAGUUCUGCCCUGUGUGUAAAAAGCUAUAUUAUGUAGCUGCAGGUGGAAAGGGCAAGCCCCACGAUUGUUCAACAAAAUGCACGGUCUGUCGUCAGAAAGUGCCUCACGGUACUGAUGUAACGUUAAACGACCAUCUGUGCUAUAUUCAACCGACCCUGACUGAUGCGCAACUCCACGAUAAGCUAGUUUUUUAUGAUUUCGAAACUUUUACAGAUCAAACCGGAAAACACAUACCGGUAAACUGGUGUUCAGACGGGUCCUUGCAGUCACUCUGACGAAGAGAGAGCGUUAACAGGUGUAUGGGUAAGUGUGAAAUUCAGCAAGGCUCUUGAGCUGGGAUAACGCCUCGCUGAAAUCACUGAGGUUUGGCAUUUUGAAAAACAGCAGUUUAAUCUUUAAACCGUAUAUCCACACUUUUCUCAAGGGUAAGCUGGAGGCUUCAGGUUUCCCGGCUGAAGCUACGGAUGAAGAAAGUCGUUUGAAAUAUGUGGCAGACUACAAACAUGAGCAAGGCAUCCAGUUGGAUAUGCGGAAGAUCGAGGUGAAUCCAGCUAAAAGGCAGGUGGCUAAAUUGUGUCUAAAUAGUUUUUGGGGUAAAUUUGCACAGAGAAACGAUUUGGCUCAGACAAGCAUUGUGAGCGAGCCCGAAGAGUUUUUUAACUUCCUGUUUUCAGGUAAAUACACUGUGAGCUACUUUCACUUCCUGAACGAUGAAAUGUGCAUGGUUCAGUGGCAAUACAACAAGCGUUGUAUCGCUCCACCCAACAAGGUGAAUAAUGUCUUCAUCGCUGCCUUUACAACUGCCCACGCACGUUUGAAAUUGUACACGUCUCGAACGACUUCAACAGCGUGUUUUGUACAUUGACACGGACAGCUUGAUCUACGUGGUUAAACCGGGUCAGACCUCCCUCGAGCUGGGACAUUUACUUGGUGACUUGACUGACGAACUUUCAGGGGACUUGAUACAGGAAUUUGUUUCCGCAGGCCCAAAAAGCUAGGCUUACCAGACGAGAAGCCAGAAACGGGUUGUGAUGAAGUUUAAAGGUAUCACUCAGACUCACAAAUGUAGUGAGAGGGUGAAUUUUGACAGCGUGAAAGACCUGGUAGAAGGUCAUCAGCAAGGUUCUACAGGGGAUUUUUUACAAGUUCCACAGCACACCAUCAGAAGGAAUAAAAGAAACUUCCAGCUUCAAAAUGCCACAUUUCAGAAAAAGCUCCGUGUGGUGUAUGACAAGAGAAGGCUUUUUCCUGACGGAACAACCAUUCCUUUUGGCUACUAAACGGUUAACUGAGGGGGAGGGGGGGGGGGGGAAAUGUCGCUCCCCCAUGAAACACAGGAGGUUGAAUUUGAUCAUAGAUUCAAAACCCUCUUUUCACUUCUAAUAGCAGGGCUGAGUGGUUGUAGUAAAUGUUUUUUUGUUAAAAAUGUUUUGCAUAAUUGUAACCAUGUAAUGGAUGUUUUUCCUGUAAAUAUAGUCUGGAUUUACACCUGUUUCCAAAGUAUGUAUUCUGAAUUGCAGAAAAUGAAUAAAAACAUUAAAUUCAUUGAAGGACUACCUCAUUCUUUCGAUGAUGAAAAUCUGUUUCCUCCUGAUCACAAUCAUUUGGUUAUUUUAGACGAUGUGAUUUUCCAGGCUUCGGACCAUCCGGAAGAUUUUCACCCAAUACCGCCAUCAUAAAAAUAUGAGUGUUAUAAUGUUAACUCAGAAUGUUUUUCAUAAAGGGAAGUACAGCCGCACUAUCAGUUUAAACGUUAAUUAUAUGGUGUUGUUUAAGAACCCUAGAGAUAAACUGCAACUGAAUAUAUUAGUUCGUCAAAUAUUUCCGUCAGAGAAAACUUUCUUUAUGGAGAGUCUUCAAGACGCGACCAAAGAUCCUCACGGAUAUUUAAUCGGCGAUCUGACUCCCACUUGCCCAGAUCGUUU